GAUGAACGCUGGCGGCGUGCCUAAUACAUGCAAGUCGAGCGAACGGACGAGAAGCUUGCUUCUCUGAUGUUAGCGGCGGACGGGUGAGUAACACGUGGAUAACCUACCUAUAAGACUGGGAUAACUUCGGGAAACCGGAGCUAAUACCGGAUAAUAUUUUGAACCGCAUGGUUCAAAAGUGAAAGACGGUCUUGCUGUCACUUAUAGAUGGAUCCGCGCUGCAUUAGCUAGUUGGUAAGGUAACGGCUUACCAAGGCAACGAUGCAUAGCCGACCUGAGAGGGUGAUCGGCCACACUGGAACUGAGACACGGUCCAGAGUCCUACGGGAGGCAGCAGUAGGGAAUGUUCCGCAAUGGGCGAAAGCCUGACGGAGCAACGCCGCGUGAGAGAUGAAGGUCUUCGGAUCGUAAAACUCUGUUAUUAGGGAAGAACAUAUGUGUAAGUAACUGUGCACAUCUUGACGGUACCUAAUCAGAAAGCCACGGCUAACUACGUG
rnacentral:rRNA from 1 species